ACGCUCACUUCAGCAGCACAUACACUAAAAUUGGAACCCUACAGAGAAGAAUAACAUGGUCCCUGAGCAAGAAUGACAUGCAAAUUCGUGAAGUGUUCCAUAUUUGU